UUGAAAGGGAAACGAUUGAAGUCAGUCGUACCAACGGGAAAUCAACCUUUUGAGCUUGGUCUCGGGGUUUUGAAGAGUUUCAAAGCCUUCGGAUUCGCGGGAUUGGGAUCUCUUGGUGUACUUUUUCGUACGGUUAGUCAACAUCGGUUUUGAAUGUCAUAAAAUGACUGGAGGAAUGUAGCUUCGAUCUCGUAUUGAAGUGUUAUAGCCUUUGGUAGAUGUGAUGUUUGAGACCGAGGAUUGCAACGGAUACCCUUCAGGGCUAUUCGUCUGAUCUCUGAUACGUUGCCUUGAUGUUGAAAGCUUGCUUAUGAUGUUAGGGUAUUACGGUCAAAAGGUUAGAACGAAUUACAUUCGUUAAGGAUGUUGACGUA
rnacentral:rRNA from 1 species